CUAGUAAAGUCAGCUAAGC
rnacentral:tRNA from 1 species